rnacentral:ncRNA from 1 species
AUAGCCUCAUUAAUAUCUAAUGAGAAGACUUGAUAACUUUUCAAGUGGGAACACGGUGAAAAUCCGAGGCUGCCCCCGCAACUGUAAUAAAUAAUUAGUUAUUUAGAGCCAGAUACCAAAUUAAUACUAUCAAUUAUA